rnacentral:rRNA from 1 species
GGAGGGUGCGAGCGUUGUCCGGAAUCAUUGGGCGUAAAGGGCGCGUAGGUGGCCCGGUCAGUCUUUGGUGAAAGCGCGGGGCUCAACCCUGCGUCGGCCAGGGAUACUGCCGCGGCUCGAGCACUGUAGAGGCAGGCGGAAUUCCGGGUGUAGCGGUGGAAUGCGUAGAGAUCCGGAAGAACACCGGUGGCGAAGGCGGCCUGCUGGGCAGUCUGGCUGACACUGAGGCGCGACAGCGUGGGGAGCAAACAGGAUUAGAUACCCUGGUAGUCCACGCCGUAAACGAUGGGCACUAGGCGCUUGGGGGAGCGACCCCCCGAGGGCCGGCGCUAACGCAUUAAGUGCCCCGCCUGGGGAGUACGGCCGCAAGANCNG